rnacentral:rRNA from 1 species
GAGCGGAAGGCCCUUCGGGGUACUCGAGCGGCGAACGGGUGAGUAACACGUGAGCAACCUGCCCCAGGCUUUGGGAUAACCCCGGGAAACCGGGGCUAAUACCGAAUAUGACCUCCGAUCGCAUGGUUGGUGGUGGAAAGUUUUUCGGCUUGGGAUGGGCUCGCGGCCUAUCAGCUUGUUGGUGGGGUGAUGGCCUACCAAGGCGACGACGGGUAGCCGGCCUGAGAGGGCGACCGGCCACACUGGGACUGAGACACGGCCCAGACUCCUACGGGAGGCAGCAGUGGGGAAUAUUGCACAAUGGGCGGAAGCCUGAUGCAGCGACGCCGCGUGAGGGAUGACGGCCUUCGGGUUGUAAACCUCUUUCAGCAGGGACGAAGCGUAAGUGACGGUACCUGCAGAAGAAGCGCCGGCCAACUACGUGCCAGCAGCCGCGGUAAGACGUAGGGCGCGAGCGUUGUCCGGAUUUAUUGGGCGUAAAGAGCUCGUAGGCGGCUUGUCGCGUCGACUGUGAAAACCCGCAGCUCAACUGCGGGCCUGCAGUCGAUACGGGCAGGCUAGAGUUCGGUAGGGGAGACUGGAAUUCCUGGUGUAGCGGUGAAAUGCGCAGAUAUCAGGAGGAACACCGGUGGCGAAGGCGGGUCUCUGGGCCGAUACUGACGCUGAGGAGC